GCGAUAACGGCGUUGUAACGGCGUAAAAAGUAAUUAGUUAGAUUACCCCGUUUCUGAAAAACAAACGCCAUUACAUAACGCCGUUAUUUUAAACACUGUUCAACAUUGACUAACAAAACAAAGGGAUUAGUGGUAAUAAAAACUGUGACCCAGUCAUUUUCCAGAUGAAACCUAACUCUGAUUUACUUCCAUUCAGAUCCAAAGAGUCAACUACACACAGGAGGUGAAAUCUGCCUUCCUGGAGGAGGUCUUUGACAGAGCUAAUCUGUCCUCCCCAGCCGUCAGCAACCUGGAAAUCCAGCAAUGGCUCAGGGUUCGACUGGAGCCUCUUCUGUCCGACCUGUCCUCUACCCUGGUCUCUCCGUUGUUCUCCAUUGGCAGUAACAAGACUUGUAACAGCACAGAGGAGAUCAUUACAUUGCUGGACACACUACAACCAACACUGAGCAUCGAUACCCAAAAAGAGAUCCAGAGAAAUAUUCAGUUGUUUCUCCAAGGUCCAGAACCACUAAACUGUUACACGGGGGGAAGCUUCUAUAUCUACCUGCAGAACACGUUUCUCAGUUUUGGUUUUCCGGACAUUCCAACAUUUAUAUCUCUCCUGCCAUCAACACGCAAAUCUGAGCUCCUAAGUACCAUCAGCACCUCUGAACUUGGACAGUUCCUCAGACAACCCAACGUGCUCGCCAACCAUUCUGACAUCUGUGACAUCUUCAGCAACUACAACAACACUAAUCAAUUCCUUGAAACUGAGGACGUUCCAGAUGACGUGAGGAUGCAAAGCCUGCCCUGUUUCUGGGCCACAGCCCUCAGCAGCUCCAGCAGAUCUGAGGCUGAUUUAUGGUUUGAUCAACGCUUGAAGGACUAUCUUAUCUUCUUGACAAAGGACCUCAUAAACUCCAGCCAAGUGCAGAACGCUUCCUGCUUUGCAUUCCAGAACUGUGAGGGUUUUUUCACGCAUCACCAUGAAGUUCUAACAAAAAAAUAA
rnacentral:lncRNA from 1 species